UGUGCCUUUACAUGUUGGCUUUACUCAAGAAAAAGAAAAAGAGACUGUAAGUAUUGUAUAUAUAAAAUAACUUACAAACUUUGAACGUAUUGAACUUAGAAUAAAUACUUUCGCCUCUUGAAUAAAUACUGGUUGUGAAAAGGAUUAAGAUUUGUCUAUCAACUGCAUCAGAUUUUGUACCCUUUUUACUUUUCUAAAAACUAAGCCCAGCUCAGAAGGAUGGAAUCAUCGAGUGGAGGAAGAUGAGUGUCUUUCAGAGAAUGAGUGGGGGUUCGUGGGCUGUUCCAAGUUUCCAAAUAGUAAGCUGUAAGCAUAAACUCUUAAACUGCAAAGCGCUUUGGAUGGGGAAGGCCAUCUUUACGUACUGCUUCUGAUAUCGUCAGAUUGGUAGAAUACCUACUUAGUGGGCUCGGUGUCUUCUACCGCAUGUGAGAGACAAGAAGGUUAGGCUAGAAGGGAGAUGCAAGUCAACGCCUGAAGCAUUAGGCAUUACAGAUAUGAUUCUUCUUUCAGUAAGUGUGUACAUUAAUAGUUCCAUAUUUCAAAAGCAUAGUAUGACUUCACUUAGGGUAGCCAGUACGGCGGAUGAAUAAAUUUUGUAUCCUCUCCCACACUCCUUGCGGUUGCUCGGUUUGACACCCUUUAAACAGGUAAUGGAUUGUCCAUUACUGUAUCUCUAAGAUUUUCUGAAUGUUUGACAGGUUGCAGUUCGCAAUUCCUAUAUACUUCCAUAUUUUGUUGUGAUUGCAAAUUUUUGAGAUGGCGAAGAAUUAUUACAGUUCAAAAGGAUCCACUUAUUUAACAACAAACAUGAGAAGGUCGACCAUAGUCCGUAGAAUAAAAGAUAAGUUACAAAAUACAUUUGACUUAUAAGAAUAGAGAAACAUGACAUGUCAUGUAAUUCAACUGACCUACUCUUUAGACCUGAAUAUGUUCAAGACAUAUUACAAGGAUGUUGUAUAGCUUGGGAGGAAGAGGAGAGAAACAUGAUGUCUUCUGCUGGCUAAGAUUAUGAACAUUGAUACUCUUUAUUAGAUGCUUAUUUCUUGGAAAAUGUUUUAAAAGAUGUUUUAAUAUAGGUAAAUACUUAUUGCUGGAUCAUGUUUAGAAGUAUAUAUAAGUCUUCCGAGAGAAAAUUACAUUUACAAUUUUACUGUUGUUUUACUGUCAUGAGAUAACUUUUAUGACAAUUGUAUGCAUAUAAUUAAAAUCUUACAACUU